GUGCUCUUGUUGGCGAAGAGUGCUGCUGCUGCUGGUAAUGGUGAGGGCGAGUCCUUUAUUCCUGGAAUAGCUGGAGAAGACUACCCAAUCUACAACGAAAUUCCAGAAACAUCCUUUUCUUGUGAGGGACGAAUUGAAGGAGGAUACUAUGCUGAUCCUGAGGCUGAAUGCCAAGCUUUCCACAUCUGUAUUGCUGAUGGUGAAGGAAGUUUGUUGAAAGCAUCUGCUCUCUGCCACAAUGGAACCAUCUUCAACCAAGAAAUCUUUACUUGUGACUUGUGGUCUAACUUCAACUGUGCUGAUGCUGAAGGUUUGUACUCUAAGAAUGAAGAACUCGCUGCUGCUAGAGAAGAAGCUUCUGCUGCUGCCGCUGCUACCUCAACUGGUACUACGGGUGCUGACUCUGCUGCUUCAACUGCCGCUGCUGGUGGUGUUUCUGCUGCUUCAGCGGCCGCCGCUGCUGGUGGUUAUGGUGCUCCUGCUCCCGGUGGUCUUCCAUCAUAUAUCAUCUAAGAAAAGCCAUUUCCUUCAAUUUCGAAAAAAAUAUAAAAGAAAAAAAAACUGAAAACUGUUCAAACAAAUUAUUAAUGUACAAUAAAUAGAUAAUAGAAUUAUUAUCAGAAUUUUA
rnacentral:lncRNA from 1 species